CCUACGGGUGGCAGCAGUGAGGAAUAUUGGUCAAUGGCCGGAAGGCUGAACCAGCCAAGCCGCGUGAAGGACGAAGGUGCCAAGCAUUGUAAACUUCUUUUGUCAAGGGACAAAAUCAGGCUCGAGAGCCUGACCGAGGGUACUUGAAGAAAAAGCAUCGGCUAACUCCGUGCCAGCAGCCGCGGUAAUACGGAGGAUGUGAGCGUUAGCCGGAUUUAUUGGGUUGAAAGGGUGCGUAGGCGGACGGUUAAGUCAGCGGUAAAAGCCCGGGGCUCAACCCCGGCGGGCGGUUGAAACUGGCUGGCUUGAGAUUUCGAGAGGUAUGCGGAAUGCGCGGUGUAGCGGUGAAAUGCUUAGAUAUUGCGCAGAACUCCGAUUGCGAAGGCAGCAUACCGGCGGCGAUCUGACGCUGAGGCACGAAAGCGUGGGUAUCGAACAGGAUUAGAUACCCUGGUAGUC
rnacentral:rRNA from 1 species